UUUUAAUUAAUGAGAUGUUGACAAGGUUUUGAAACUCUGUAUUAUUUUAAUUUUGUUUACUGAUCAUUUUUGUGAUGGUUAAUGUUUUGUUAGACUGAGGAAGGAAGAUGUAAUCAACUCUGCCUUUGCUUGGCUCCGGUGAAAGCUGGCCAGUGUUUUAUACAGAAAUCAAUGUUAUGCAGUGGUAGCUGUCUCCUUGCAAUGGCUCAGGGCCCCUCCAGUGAUGGAGGCACAAUUGAAUUUUGCUGCAAAGAGGAUGAAAAACAAAUAAUUGGAAUGCACUGGCUCUACAAGAAAUACUGCAUUGCCAUCUUUGGAAGGAACAAUGAAAGUGACUACCCCCAGCUUCCAAGAUGGAUGAUCAGCCAACCUGCACCUCAUGUGCUGCGCUGUCCACAGCUGCGAACAAGAUGUAGAAGUCUUCCAGAAACUGCACAGAACCUCUUCAGAGACAAGAGAUCGAACACGCAGGGACAGCAAGAGGCUAUACUGAAUUGAGGACUGGAUGUCAGAGGUGGAGAUGGCUGGAAACAUGAGACAUGGCAACAGAACCUCUUCCACCGGUAGACUGGUAGGAACAGGCUCAGUUCUGUGGGAGAUGACAGGAAGAAGAGUCUCCAUCACAGGAGUCUUCAGGUUUUAUCAAACAUGAACCAAGCAUGCACACUAAGAGGAAGAGACAGGUGAGAGAGAUUAAAGCACGGUUAUCUGCCAUUCAGAUGUGCAAUCACAGGAGACUUGUUUCUUCAUGGGUAUCCAUAUCCGUUAUUUUGUGAAGAGACUGACAGUUUAUCCAACACUCAGCCAACAAGCCCGCCUUGCCAGUUAUCCAUGUGGACAGCAAUAAUAGUUCCAGGAGAGGCCCUGAGACCCCAAGAACAUAAAGAGUAAUUUAUUGGUCGCUGCACCUAGGUUGUGAGGGAAAAGCUUGCAAGUCAAGUUGAUGUUCUACCUGAAAGAAGCUGUGUGUCUCUUGCAUGUACAACUGAAGAGAUGUUCUUAUAAGCAGAAGUCUAUGCUAAAGGCCACGUCAUGUCCUCUUCCUGGGCUCUCCCAUGCAAAGCCAGACAAAUCUCAUGGUACAAUGCAGUGUAUUUCUUGUUUUUCACAGUCAAGGAAUGUGACUUUGCUAUCAGUGCUGCCACAGACAGAAUGUACACAAGCCCUGGGAACAUCUCAGAGAACAGAAUUUAUCAAGGGAACAUAGGAGUCAUAACAACUCCCAGAGGAGCACCAGUCAACAUUAAAGUGCUCAUGUUGUGACUGGCUGGUGCUGAUGAUGGUGUUUAAGCUUUUGCUUUUCUGUUCAAAGUGCGGAUCCCCUUUCAACAAAAUCAACCCUCAUAUAUGCCACAGGAAAUUACAUCUGAUUGAUGUUUGUUUCAGAGAAGAGACCCUCGAAUUACCAAAAAAUUAGAUAUGGUCUGACAUUCUUCAGUGCAGAAAACUAUUUUCUUUAAUUUGUUUUUUUUAUAUACCAUUCUUUUCUGGAAUGCCAUCUUCUGUAAAUCCAUAUUAUUUCUGUAACAAUCUAAACCACUAAAUGAUGGUGGGAGGAAUCCUUUCCCAGAAAAUUGGAUAGGACCCAGAUAGGGCAGAAGAGAACCUAAUGAGUUUUCCUACAUAGUGUUAUCCUGUGAAAGCUGUGUGACAGGAAGGGAUAAAUCAUAGAAUAGAAUCAUAGAACGGUUUGGGUUGUAAAGGACCUUUAAAAUCUUUUCAUUCCAGCCUCCCUGCUACAGGUAGGGACACCCCCUUCUUGAUGAGGCUGCUCACAGACCCAUCCAACCUGGCUUGGAUUUCUUCCAUGGAGGUGGCAUCCACAACAUCUCUGGGAAACCUGUUCCAAUGUCCCACCACCCUCACAGUGAAGAAUUUCUUCCUAAUCUCUAGCCUAAUAUGCCCUCUUAUAGUUUAAAGCCAUUGCUCUUACAAGAGCUAUUAGGGAGGCAGUCUGCUUUUAGACUUGUUCUACUCCCACAGUAAAUUCUAAGCCAGAUUUUUGUGAAUGCUGCACACACUGUGUGAAGCCUGUGAGCCUCUUCAAGCCCACAGCUAUUUAUAAAAGCUGAUGAUUACACCACAUUUUUCACCCCAGUGCUCCCAAAGGACGUUGCAAACAUCUGGUUGAACAGACAUCUCUUGAUCUGAAACUGUUACAAUCCAGCUGCUAACACAUGGCAACUGCUUAGCAUUUGGAGGGGCAGGGAAAGCUAUAGUGUAUUUACUUCUAUCUUUACCAUCAAUGUUAUUGCUCACUUCAAUACAAUUUCAGGAUUUCGGUCAUCAGAGAGGUCAGGUGAAGCAGUAGAUUUAAAAAUCUAAAUGUCCGGAAAUCAAGAAUCAAGAAGCUGAAAUGAUGAAUCUGCCCAUGGGAGGCAUCUCAACAGUAGUCAUCUGUUCACAUGGUUCAUUCUAGAAAGAAGAGAUCCUGAAGUAUGAACCCAGGUGGCUGUGCCCCUCCUGGUUGUCAUAUCCUUGUAUCCACAUUUGUAUUCUCUGUCCUUCAUCUGUGACUCAGAUUUUUAAUUAGUAACUCCUGAAUUAAGCCCAGAGCACUUGCUUGAGGUAAUGCUUGUUUUUAGAAAGUUGUCCUGUAUUACUUUCAAGUCUUCCAUUAAUGAAAACACCCUACAGUAGCUAAUGAGUUGUCCCAGUAAUUCAUUCUACUGCCUUUGAAAAGGCACAGAUCAUUCUUGCACUAAAUCUAGUUAGUGCCUUCUUUCAGCCAGGAGCACACUGAAUACAGUUUUCAGGCACCAAUCGUUAUGAGCAGAUGCCUGCUCCAACAGUAAACAUUUGACACCUGGUUUGCUUUAUCCAUGAAAGCGAUUGGAGAGCUGGUAAGCCUGCUUGUUCUUAGAGACUUAGUGUUAAAUUUAAUACUCUGUAACAGAGGAUCUUUCCUAGCUAAUAAUGAGCACAAUUUCUUAGAUUAACUUGUGUCCAUGAAUAAAGUUCCUCCCCUUCCUGACUUGUUUGAACAGAUUUAUGGCAUCCUUUUCUAUGUCUGUUUCAGUAGACUGAAGACAUUCCAGCCUUGGUCUCAAGCAGUUCUAUGACCAUCUUCACUGUCACAUUUUUAGCAUUAUCCCUUGUGUGGAUUUGUCCUGAGCAAGCUGGUUUUCCCCUGGAAUACCAAUAUUUCAGAAAUCUGAGAAGUCCACAAUGCAUAUUUAUUUUGAAAGUCAUGGAGAAGCUCUCAGUGAGGCCACCAUAUUUGGAUAUAGAGCUGUAUGAGUAGAAACACUUUAUGCUUUUAUGCAAACCGAAGGCAUCAUUAUGACACACUACUACAGGAACAUAAAAAUCGAACACUGUUGUUCUUGCUCAGAGGGAGGUGAAGGCCUUUGGUACCUUUCCCUUGUGGGGAGAAACUGCCCAUCCAGUACUGCUGGGGGAAUAUUUGGAGGGAAUUAUUGGUGUCUGAUAGGUAGCUGUAUGUGCAAGGUUUAUUUUUAUUAUAUAUUAUAUAAAUUAUAUAAUAUAUAAUAUUAUAUUAUAGAUAUAUAAUGAGCAGUUAUCUUAUGCUUGCAGCAUGGAUUGGGCUCCCUGCUUGUGUAGUCAGAGAUCUUUGCACUUGUAUCUAGCUGGGAAAUCCCAACCUCAGCGUGGUAACCAUAGGAGUACAUGCAAUUGUUACUGCCUAUAAUUUGUGUUGACAAGAUCAGUCAAAACAUUCAUUACGUAUCAGUGCAAUGUUUUAUAUAGAACACCCUACUCAGCUGUGAGGGGACAUAUCUGCAGAGGUAUGUAGGUGCCUCACCACUUUUAGAAGCUUAACUCCCCCAGAUUCAGGGGAAGUAGGUCCCUAAAUGCCUCUAUAGCACUGGUAGAAUACCAGAGAGAGAGAGGUCUCUUGAACUAUUCCCACACACUCUUUGUCCUUUCUUUCUUUAUUUCUACUGAAUUAUUCUCACAAAAAUAAAGGGUGUUUUUUUUUCCUGAAUUUGAAUGAGUAUAUACAUUAUGUUUCAGUUGCAUAAUAUUAUUGCUUUAGCAAUCGUUUGGCAAAUAGAAUUGCCCCCCACAUUGUGUAAUGAAAAUAUAACACAUUUUAGCAUUCUUCUGAGAUUUAAUUUCUUGUCAAGCUGUACAUUUAUAAAAAAAGUCAUUUCAUAAAAAUUGAAGACAGUACUCAUUCAGUCAUCUGUUGCAACCAUCUGCUGCUGAUACAUUAUUUUGAUUUACCAUCCUUUGUCUUCUUCAAGGAAGUCAACCGUGAUUUUAUUAUUCUUUUCACUCAAAGCACGAUAGAGACUUCAUUCAACUUACCACUCAAGGUGAAUUAUAAUAUAACCUUCUUCCAUCACUCUGCAGUUGAGCUUGAAAUUUCUACACCAAUAGUAUUGUGAUAUUGUAAUUUUCCCCAUCAUUAAUAUUUUUGCAGUCUCCUGUAUGUUAAUGAUAUUUUAAAACUCACAAGAAAAAGUAGCACUUCAGCAGAGAAGUAUUUUGAAGGGUACUGAGUCAUAGUCAAUGGCCUCUUUCAAGUGUCACUUAAUUUAGUGCACCAAUUGCCAGG
ensembl:lncRNA